rnacentral:rRNA from 1 species
GACGUAGGGUCCGAGCGUUGUCCGGAGUUACUGGGCGUAAAGGGCGCGUAGGCGGCUUCUUGCGUCCCACGUGAAAGCCCCUGGCUCAACCAGGGAGGGUCGUGGGAAACGGGGGAGCUGGAGGCAGCGAGAGGCUGGUGGAAUUCCCGGAGUAGUGGUGAAAUGCGUAGAGAUCGGGAAGAACGCCAAGGGCGAAGGCACUCUGCUAGGCCUGAUUUCGCGACUGACACUCAGGGACGAGAGCCAGGGGAGCGAAUGGG